UCCCUAUGUUUUAUUCGAUACAUUUCGACAGUGUUACCCCUUAUGGAUUUUUCAUGACGACAGAUAAAAAACGACAGUGUUACCCUUUACGUUUCAUUUGAUAAAAACGACAGUGUUACCCCUUGUGUUUUUUUUCAUGACGACCAAAGAAAAACAACAGUGUUACCCCCUAUGUUUUAUUUGAUCAAUAUCGACAGUGUUACCCCUUAUGGUUUUUUUCAUGACGACCAAAGAAAAACAACAGUGUUACCCCCUAUGUUUUAUUUGAUCAAUAUCGACAGGUUUACCCCUUAUGUUUAUUUCAUGACAGCCGAUAAAAAACGACAGAGUUACCCCUUAUGUUUUUUUUCAUGACGACCGAUAAAAAACAACAGCGUAACCCCUUAUGUUUUUUUUCAUGACGACCGAUAAAAAACGACAGUGUCACCCCUCGUUUCAUUUGAUAAAAACGACAGUGUUACUCCCUAUGUUUUAUUCGAUACAUUUCGACAGUGUUACCCCUUAUGGAUUUUUCAUGACGACAGAUAAAAAACGACAGUGUUACCCUUUACUUUUCAUUUGAUAAAAACGACAGUGUUACCCCUUAUGUUUUUUUCCCAUGAUGACUGAUGAAAAACAACAGUGUUACCCCUUAUAUUUUAUUUGACAGGGACAAUUUUCUUAUUUUUUUCAUAUAUGUUUCUUUUUCAUGACGACCAAUAAAAAACGACAGUGUUACCCCUGUCAACGUUUUUGCAGAGAUCCGAACCUGAGCUGUGUAGAGUAUUAACCUUCAAACUUAUCAACGCAUCAUCAAGACACCGAAUAAUGUCAACACAAUGGUUAUACUUGAC
rnacentral:lncRNA from 1 species